GACGAACGCUGGCGGCGUGCCUAAUACAUGCAAGUUGAGCGCUGAAGGUUGGUACUUGUACCAACUGGAUGAGCAGCGAACGGGUGAGUAACGCGUGGGGAAUCUGCCUUUGAGCGGGGGACAACAUUUGGAAACGAAUGCUAAUACCGCAUAAAAACUUUAAACACAAGUUUUAAGUUUGAAAGAUGCAAUUGCAUCACUCAAAGAUGAUCCCGCGUUGUAUUAGCUAGUUGGUGAGGUAAAGGCUCACCAAGGCGAUGAUACAUAGCCGACCUGAGAGGGUGAUCGGCCACAUUGGGACUGAGACACGGCCCAAACUCCUACGGGAGGCAGCAGUAGGGAAUCUUCGGCAAUGGACGAAAGUCUGACCGAGCAACGCCGCGUGAGUGAAGAAGGUUUUCGGAUCGUAAAACUCUGUUGGUAGAGAAGAACGUUGGUGAGAGUGGAAAGCUCAUCAAGUGACGGUAACUACCCAGAAAGGGACGGCUGACUACGUG
rnacentral:rRNA from 1 species